rnacentral:rRNA from 1 species
CUAAGGCUCCAGAGGAAGCCACGGCUAUCUCUGUGCCAGCAGCCGCGGUAAUACAGAGGCGGCAAGCGUUGUUCGGAAUUAUUGGGCGUAAAGAGCACGUAGGCGGCCUUGCAAGUCAGUUGUGAAAGCCUUCCGCUUAACGGAAGAAUGCCAGCUGAUACUACAGGGCUUGAGUACGGGAGGGGAGAGUGGAACUUCUGGUGGAGCGGUGAAAUGCGUAGAUAUCAGAAGGAACGCCGGCGGCGAAAGCGACCCUCUGGCCCGAAACUGACGCUGAGUGUGCGAAAGCUAGGGGAGCAAACGGGAUUAGAUACCCCGGUAGUCCUAGCCGUAAA